rnacentral:misc_RNA from 1 species
AAGUCGUAACAAGGUUUCCGUAGGUGAACCUGCGGAAGGAUCAUUAACAAAAAGUAAAAAGGGGGUAUGUGUAGUAUAGUAGUAUGUGUGUGGUAAAACACACACACACACACUGCACUAUAUACUCUUUUUGACACAUUGUGCACAUUUAUGACUAUUAUAUAAUUUUUAAUUUUAUAAUUGAAACAACUUUUAACAAUGGAUCUCUUGGCUCUU